AAGUCCUCAUGGCCUUUAUGCCCAGGGCUACACACGUGCUACAAUGGGUGGUACAAAGAGCAGCCAGCUCGCGAGAGUGAGCAAAUCUCAAAAAGCCAUCCUCAGUUCGGAUUGAAGUCUGCAACUCGACUUCAUGAAGUUGGAAUCGCUAGUAAUCGUGGAUCAGAAUGUCACGGUGAAUACGUUCCCGGGUCUU
rnacentral:rRNA from 1 species